AACAGGAUUAGAUACCCUGGUAGUCCACGCCCUAAACGAUGAAUACUCGAUGUUGGCGAUAUACGGUCAGCGUCUAAGCGAAAGCGUUAAGUAUUCCACCUGGGGAGUACGCCCGCAAGGGUGAAACUCAAAGGAAUUGACGGGGGCCCGCACAAGCGGAGGAGCAUGUGGUUUAAUUCGAUGAUACGCGAGGAACCUUACCCGGGCUUGAAAGUUAGUGAAUGAUCCAGAGACGGAUCAGUCCUUCGGGACACGAAACUAGGUGCUGCAUGGCUGUCGUCAGCUCGUGCCGUGAGGUGUUGGGUUAAGUCCCGCAACGAGCGCAACCCCUAUGUUUAGUUGCCAGCACGUCAAGGUGGGGACUCUAAACAGACUGCCUAUGCAAAUAGAGAGGAAGGAGGGGACGACGUCAAGUCAUCAUGGCCCUUACGUCCGGGGCUACACACGUGCUACAAUGGGCAGUACAGCGGGCAGCUACCUGGCAACAGGAUGCCAAUCUCGUAAAGCUGUUCACAGUUCGGAUCGGGGUCUGCAACUCGACCCCGUGAAGUUGGAUUCACUAGUAAUCGCGUAUCAGCAAUGACGCGGUGAAUACGUUCCCGGGCCUUGUACACACCGCCCGUCAAGCCAUGGAAGCUGGAAGUGCCUGAAGUGCGUAACCGCAAGGAGCGUCCUAGGGUAAAGUCGGUAACUGGGGCUAAGUCGUAACAAAGGUAGCCGUA
rnacentral:rRNA from 1 species